rnacentral:rRNA from 1 species
GACAGAGGGUGCAAACGUUGUUCGGAAUUACUGGGCGUAAAGCGUGUGUAGGCGGCUAGGUAAGUCGGAUGUGAAAGCCCCGGGCUCAACUCGGGAAGUGCACUCGAUACUGCUUAGCUCGAGUACCGGAGAGGUUGGUGGAAUUCUCGGUGUAGAGGUGAAAUUCGUAGAUAUCGAGAGGAACACCGGUGGCGAAGGCGGCCAACUGGACAGAUACUGACGCUGAGACUCGAAAGCGUGGGGAGCGAACAGG